rnacentral:rRNA from 1 species
AUUGAACGCUGGCGGCAUGCUUUACACAUGCAAGUCGAACGAGUGGCGAAGGGGGGAGUAAUAUAUCGGAACGUACCGAGUAAUGGGGGAUAAACAAGCGAACGAUUGGCUAAUACCGCAUAUUAUUCGAGCGGCCGAUAACUGUUUAGCUAGUUGGUGGGGUAAAGGCCUACCAAGGCGACGAUCCGUAGCUGGUCUGAGGGGACGACCCGCCACACUGGGACUGAGCCCCGGCCCAGACUCCUACGGGAGGCAGCAGUGGGGAAUUUUGGACAAUGGGGGCAACCCUGAUCCAGCCAUGCCGCGUGUAUGAAGAAGGCCUUCGGGUUGUAAAGUACUUUUGUUAGGGAAGCGUUACCUAAAGAAUAAGCACCGGCUAACUCCGUGCCAGCAGCCGCGGUAAUUC